GCACAGUGGCUUAGUGGUUAGAACAUUUGCCUCACACCUACAGGGUUGGGGGGUCGAUUCCCGCUGCA